UCCUACGGGGGGCAGCAGUGGGGAAUUUUCCGCAAUGGGCGCAAGCCUGACGGAGCAACGCCGCGUGAGGGAGGAAUGUCUGUGGAUUGUAAACCUCUUUUCUCUGUGAAGAAGAUCUGACGGUAGCAGAGGAAUCAGCAUCGGCUAACUCCGUGCCAGCAGCCGCGGUAAGACGGAGGAUGCAAGCGUUAUCCGGAAUUAUUGGGCGUAAAGCGUCCGUAGGCGGUUAAUUAAGUCAGUUGUUAAAGACUGCAGCUCAACUGUGGGAGAGCAACUGAAACUGGUUGACUAGAGUAUGGUAGGGGUAGAGGGAAUUCCUAGUGUAGCGGUGAAAUGCGUAGAUAUUAGGAAGAACACCAGUGGCGAAGGCGCUCUACUGGGCCAUAACUGACGCUGAUGGACGAAAGCUAGGGGAGCGAAAGGGAUUAGAUACCCCUGUAGUCCUAGCUGUAAACGAUGGAUACUAGGUGUUGUGCGUAUCGACCCGUGCAGUACCGAAGCAAACGCGUUAAGUAUCCCGCCUGGGGAGUACGCACGCAAGUGUGAAACUCAAAGGAAUUGACGG
rnacentral:rRNA from 1 species